UACGAAGGGUGCAAGCGUUACUCGGAAUUACUGGGCGUAAAGCGUGCGUAGGUGGUUCGUUAAGUCUGAUGUGAAAGCCCUGGGCUCAACCUGGGAAUGGCAUUGGAUACUGGCGACCUAGAGUGCGGUAGAGGGGUGUGGAAUUCCCGGUGUAGCAGUGAAAUGCGUAGAUAUCGGGAGGAACAUCUGUGGCGAAGGCGGUUUCCUGGCCGAGUACUGACGCUGAGGCACGAAAGCGUGGGGAGCGAACGGG
rnacentral:rRNA from 1 species